CCGGGCGCGGUGGCUCACGCCUGUAAUCCCAGCACUUUGGGAGGCCGAGGCGGGCGGAUCACGAGGUCAAGAGAUCGAGACCAUCCUGGUCAACAAGGUGAAACCCCGUCUCUACUAAAAAUACAAAAAAUUAGCUGGGCACGGUGGCGCGUGCCUGUAAUCCCAGCUACUCAAGGAAGCUGAGGCAGGAGAAUUGCCUGAACCCAGGAGGCGGAGGUUGCGGCCAGGUGAGAUCGUGCCAUUGCACUCCAGCCUGGGUAACAAGAGCGAAACUCUCUGGGGAAAAAAAAAAAAAAGUGUUGCUCUACUUUACAGGAGUUUUCUUUAAAAAUAUUACACUUCUCAACUAUGUUUGUCCAUUUAAUCAAUGUAUUCGUCAAACACAAGCUGAAUAGCUAUUAUACAUAUUAUAUCGCUCAGGUUUCUUCCGUCCUUAAAAACUUCAUGUUUAGCUGCCCAGCCUGAGUAAGCCUGAGAGAUUUAAAAUUGGAGUAUUAGGACUUGAUCUCAAUGGAAGCUUUUUCUCCCCCCUUUCAAAGAAAAGCAUUUCUGGAGGUAGAAAAUAGUAAAAGGUAAACUUUAACUGCCCUUUUGAAAAUAUAUAACAGUCUUAUGUACUAAUAUUAAUCAUCGGGAAUGCCUGAUUUACAUGCAUUACAUAAAUCUAAGUAUCGAAUAAAAUGAGCCAUGUCUGUUCAUUUGAACCCUGAGUUUCUUCCUUUGGCUUAAAGUUUUUUUGAAAAUCAAAGUAAGAAUUAUUUUGUUUUAAAAAUUUGUUAUGCUUUUUAAUCUCAGCCCUCUUUAUUCCAUAGUGCUUUUAAGAACUAAAAUGUACUUAAACACCAAUCAUAUGAUUAGAACUGCCCAACUGCUCUGGACCUGUUGUAUACACCAUAUUCUACUUAACGAUGGCUCUGCAUUUCGCAUGUGCCUGUGGACAUCCAGCAGUGGUAGCUCUCCUGGUGGACAGAAAAUGUCAACUUAAUUGUUUUGACAGCAAUAAGAGGACAGCUCUGAUAAAGGUAUAUAGUGACCAAGUAUUUCAGCAUGAGAUGGAUCUGAUUAUGUAGAAUUACUGAGAACCAGCUCGGCCAUAGAGACUCCCACCCAGGCAGCACUGAAGGAAAUGAGAGGCAGACGCCCAGAUAGAACAGCAAAGUGGAUCUAUCUGUGGGGGCCAGCAGCCUUCCAAACUGAGAGGCUCAGGGGCUCACAGCAUUCCAGGCUGAAGGCCCCAGGUAGGCGCUGACCCACGCAUUUAAUCUCUCUGAACAGGUGAUCAUUUUUAACAAACAGGUGUUCAGUAUUUUCUCAUAACACAAAACACACCAAGUAGGCAGCUGGUGCCCAC
rnacentral:lncRNA from 13 species